rnacentral:rRNA from 1 species
UACGUAGGGGGCGAGCGUUGUCCGGAAUCAUUGGGCGUAAAGCGCGUGUAGGCGGUCCGGUAAGUCCGCUGUGAAAGUCGGGGGCUCAACCCUCGGAUGCCGGUGGAUACUGUCGGGCUUGAGUACGGAAGAGGCGAGUGGAAUUCCUGGUGUAGCGGUGAAAUGCGCAGAUAUCAGGAGGAACACCAAUUGCGAAGGCAGCUCGCUGGGACGUUACUGACACUGAGACGCGAAAGCGUGGGGAGCAAACAGG